GGGAUAAAUAGUCGUAAUUCAAAAUCCGAAGGAUACUCAACAUUCCAGAGAAAUAGGUAAAAGGGAAAAGGAGCUUGGUUUGCUUUGUUAAUAAUGGAAGUAUCAUUGUGGCGAACUCAUUGGAUUCUGGGAGUGGCCCAGCAGUUUGGAAGCCAUUAACAUGACACUCCUGUUCAAGAAGAGAAGAAGACAGAAAGCAGGAAAUUAAAGAAGGAUACAAAUUUCUGACAGACAGUUCAGGACUUCCCUGUGCUCCAAGAAGAGCACCUGAUAUAAAUCACAUUCCCAGGGAUGAUACAUAAGACCGUCAGGUGAGAUUCUUGCUGAGGUGGUGAAAUGUCAGAACAAUGGUGGAAAGGAACAGGAGUAACAAGAUAUAAUGGUUCAACGUGGAUUGAAUCUUUAAGCAGUUACAGCUUCAUCCAAG